rnacentral:rRNA from 1 species
UACGUAGGUGGCAAGCGUUAUCCGGAUUUACUGGGUGUAAAGGGCGUGUAGGCGGGAGUGUAAGUCAGAUGUGAAAACUAUGGGCUCAACCCAUAGCCUGCAUUUGAAACUGCAUUUCUUGAGUACUGGAGAGGCAGACGGAAUUCCUAGUGUAGCGGUGAAAUGCGUAGAUAUUAGGAGGAACACCAGUGGCGAAGGCGGUCUGCUGGACAGCAACUGACGCUGAGGCGCGAAAGCGUGGGGAGCAAACAGG